rnacentral:piRNA from 1 species
UGAAUCCAGCAGUGCAAAUGCAAGCCU